AUUCUGUGGUGCGGACACACCAUAAUGUACUCCUAAAGUCUCUCCCAAGCUUUAGGAAUUGACUCAUUUGAUGCCUGCUAAAAAUUCAAAAUCCGACCACGAAGAGU